rnacentral:rRNA from 1 species
AGCUCCAAUAGCGUAUAUUAAAGUUGCUGCAGUUAAAAAGCUCGUAGUUGCAUUUCCGAGGCCAGGGAUUAGUCCGACCUUUGGUGGGUAUUUAAUCCUCUUGCCUCGUCCUUGAGUGGUGCUUCUUGGUAUUAAGUUAUCGAGGAGAUAGCCGCUCAUCGUUUACUGUGAGAAAAUUAGAGUGUUCAAAGCAGGCUUAUGCCGUUGAAUAUAUUAGCAUGGAAUAAUAAGAUAGGACCUCGGUACUAUUUUGUGGGUUUGAGAACCAAGGUAAUGAUGAAUAGGGACAGUUGGGGGUAUUCGUAUUCAGUUGUCAGAGGUGAAAUUCUUAGAUUUACGGAAGACGAACUACUGCGAAAGCAUUUACCAAGGAUGUUUUCA